rnacentral:rRNA from 1 species
AUGAACGCUAGCUACAGGCUUAACACAUGCAAGUCGAGGGGCAGCAUGGUCUUAGCUUGCUAAGGCCGAUGGCGACCGGCGCACGGGUGAGUAACACGUAUCCAACCUGCCGUCUACUCUUGGACAGCCUUCUGAAAGGAAGAUUAAUACAAGAUGGCAUCAUGAGUCCGCAUGUUCACAUGAUUAAAGGUAUUCCGGUAGACGAUGGGGAUGCGUUCCAUUAGAUAGUAGGCGGGGUAACGGCCCACCUAGUCUUCGAUGGAUAGGGGUUCUGAGAGGAAGGUCCCCCACAUUGGAACUGAGACACGGUCCAAACUCCUACGGGAGGCAGCAGUGAGGAAUAUUGGUCAAUGGGCGAGAGCCUGAACCAGCCAAGUAGCGUGAAGGAUGACUGCCCUCUGGGUUGUAAACUUCUUUUAUAAAGGAAUAAAGUCGGGUAUGGAUACCCGUUUGCAUGUACUUUAUGAAUAAGGAUCGGCUAACUCCGUGCCAGCAGCCGCGGUAAUACGGAGGAUCCGAGCGUUAUCCGGAUUUAUUGGGUUUAAAGGGAGCGUAGAUGGAUGUUUAAGUCAGUUGUGAAAGUUUGCGGCUCAACCGUAAAAUUGCAGUUGAUACUGGAUAUCUUGAGUGCAGUUGAGGCAGGCGGAAUUCGUGGUGUAGCGGUGAAAUGCUUAGAUAUCACGAAGAACUCCGAUUGCGAAGGCAGCCUGCUAAGCUGCAACUGACAUUGAGGCUCGAAAGUGUGGGUAUCAAACAGGAUUAGAUACCCUGGUAGUCCACACGGUAAACGAUGAAUACUCGCUGUUUGCGAUAUACAGCAAGCGGCCAAGCGAAAGCGUUAAGUAUUCCACCUGGGGAGUACGCCGGCAACGGUGAAACUCAAAGGAAUUGACGGGGGCCCGCACAAGCGGAGGAACAUGUGGUUUAAUUCGAUGAUACGCGAGGAACCUUACCCGGGCUUAAAUUGCAGAUGAAUUACGGUGAAAGCCGUAAGCCGCAAGGCAUCUGUGAAGGUGCUGCAUGGUUGUCGUCAGCUCGUGCCGUGAGGUGUCGGCUUAAGUGCCAUAACGAGCGCAACCCUUGUUGUCAGUUACUAACAGGUUCCGCUGAGGACUCUGACAAGACUGCCAUCGUAAGAUGUGAGGAAGGUGGGGAUGACGUCAAAUCAGCACGGCCCUUACGUCCGGGGCUACACACGUGUUACAAUGGGGGGUACAGAGGGCCGCUACCACGCGAGUGGAUGCCAAUCCCCAAAACCUCUCUCAGUUCGGACUGGAGUCUGCAACCCGACUCCACGAAGCUGGAUUCGCUAGUAAUCGCGCAUCAGCCACGGCGCGGUGAAUACGUUCCCGGGCCUUGUACACACCGCCCGUCAAGCCAUGGGAGCCGGGGGUACCUGAAGUGCGUAACCGCGAGGAGCGCCCUAGGGUAAAACUGGUGACUGGGGCU